rnacentral:rRNA from 1 species
AGAAUCAACGCUGGCGGCGUGCCUAACACAUGCAAGUCGAACGAGAAAGUGGAGCAAUCCAUGAGUAAAGUGGCGACCGGGUGAGUAACACGUGACUAACCUACCUUCGAGUGGGGGAUAACCUCGGGAAACCGAGGCUAAUACCGCAUAACAUCGUGAGAUCAAAGCAGUAAUGCGCUGGAAGAGGGGGUCGCGGCUGAUUAGCUAGUUGGCGGGGUAAUGGCCCACAAGGCGAAGAUC